GGGGACGUUUAUGGAUUCGACAGGGGUCCCCAGAGCUUAUGAAGCGUGUCGGAGGGUUGUCUCCGCAAAAACACAUCAGUUUAUAAUAACUGGCAAAACUAACAAUAACUUAGCAGUAGCUGCCUAAUCGCGCUCUGCAUCACCUAAUCGCAUCGCCUAUGUGCGAUUAACGUGAUUCAACUUUAGUAGGAUACGCUCGUCACUGCCGUUUGAAGUCUGACGAGAAGAGAUGAAUCAAACUCGCAUAAUGUCGGUUGUCUGUUUCUAAACAUUAUGCUAAAUUUCUAAACAGACUACACACGUAGAAACAUUUGUAUCAGGACCUUUGGACGCGGGUUCAAAUCCCGCCGUCUCCACUA
rfam:Staphylococcus chromogenes MT 970 SCHR_MT970Contig01, whole genome shotgun sequence.